rnacentral:misc_RNA from 1 species
CCUAGUAGCUGGUUCCUU